GGAUAAACAGUUGGAAACGACUGCUAAUACCGGAUAGGCAGAGAGGAGGCAUCUCCUCUCUGUUAAAGUUGGGAUACAACGCAAACAGAUGGAUCUGCGGUGCAUUAGCUAGUUGGUGAGGUAACGGCCCACCAAGGCGAUGAUGCAUAGCCGGCCUGAGAGGGCGAACGGCCACAUUGGGACUGAGACACGGCCCAAACUCCUACGGGAGGCAGCAGUAGGGAAUUUUCGGCAAUGGGGGAAACCCUGACCGAGCAAUGCCGCGUGAGUGAAGACGGCCUUCGGGUUGUAAAGCUCUGUUGUAAGGGAAGAACGGCAUAGAGAGGGAAUGCUCUGUGAGUGACGGUACCUUACCAGAAAGCCACGGCUAACUACGUGCCAGCAGCCGCGGUAAUACGUAGGUGGCAAGCGUUAUCCGGAAUUAUUGGGCGUAAAGGGUGCGUAGGCGGCGAGAUAAGUCUGGGGUAAAAGCCCGUGGCUCAACCACGGUAAGCCUUGGAAACUGUCUGGCUGGAGUGCAGGAGAGGACAAUGGAAUUCCAUGUGUAGCGGUAAAAUGCGUAGAUAUAUGGAGGAACACCAGUGGCGAAGGCGGUUGUCUGGCCUGUAACUGACGCUGAAGCACGAAAGCGUGGGGAACAAAUAGGAUUAGAUACCCUAGUAGUCCACGCCCCCAACAAUGAGAACUAAGUGUUGGGGAAACUCAGUGCUGCAGUUAACGCAAUAAGUUCUCCGCCUGGGGAGUAUGCACGCAAGUGUGAAACUCAAAGGAAUUGACGGGGGCCCGCACAAGCGGUGGAGUAUGUGGUUUAAUUCGACGCAACGCGAAGAACCUUACCAGGCCUUGACAUGGUAUCAAAGGCCCUAGAGAUAGGGAGAUAGUAAUGGUACACACAGGUGGUGCAUGGUUGUCGUCAGCUCGUGUCGUGAGAUGUUGGGUUAAGUCCCGCAACGAGCGCAACCCUUGUUUCUAGUUACCAACAGUAAGAUGGGGACUCUAGAGAGACUGCCGGUGACAAACCGGAGGAAGGUGGGGAUGACGUCAAAUCAUCAUGCCCCUUAUGGCCUGGGCUACACACGUACUACAAUGGCGUCUACAAAGAGCAGCGAGCAGGUGACUGUAAGCGAAUCUCAUAAAGGACGUCUCAGUUCGGAUUGAAGUCUGCAACUCGACUUCAUGAAGUCGGAAUCGCUAGUAAUCGCGGAUCAGCAUGCCGCGGUGAAUACGUUCUCGGGCCUUGCACACACAACCCGUCA
rnacentral:rRNA from 1 species